rnacentral:rRNA from 1 species
GACGAACGCUGGCGGCGUGCUUAACACAUGCAAGUCGAACGAAGAGCGAUGGAAGCUUGCUUCUAUCAAUCUUAGUGGCGAACGGGUGAGUAACGCGUAAUCAACCUGCCCUUCAGAGGGGGACAACAGUUGGAAACGACUGCUAAUACCGCAUACGAUCUAAUCUCGGCAUCGAGGAUAGAUGAAAGGUGGCCUCUAUUUAUAAGCUAUCACUGAAGGAGGGGAUUGCGUCUGAUUAGCUAGUUGGAGGGGUAACGGCCCACCAAGGCGAUGAUCAGUAGCCGGUCUGAGAGGAUGAACGGCCACAUUGGGACUGAGACACGGCCCAGACUCCUACGGGAGGCAGCAGUGGGGAAUCUUCCGCAAUGGACGAAAGUCUGACGGAGCAACGCCGCGUGAGUGAUGACGGCCUUCGGGUUGUAAAGCUCUGUUAAUCGGGACGAAAGGCCUUCUUGCGAAUAGUUAGAAGGA